ensembl:lncRNA
GGCACUACUGACGUUGCUAGAUCAGCAGUAGGUGUGAUGAUUGAAAAUAGGUGCGCGUGUAACCCAUAUUUAAGGAUGGCUUGGAUAAAAUAUACCAAAAUGAAAAAAGGACCAUUAAUCUUAGCAGUACACUCUGUUUAUAGUGAAUAAGCCAUAGGUGCAGCAGUUAAAGAGUUAACUGCUCUGGUGUAGGCGUGUGUUGCUCUAAGCCAAUGAGCUGCUGAAAUGUGGUGCAGGGUCCCGCCUGCCAUCUCCGUCUGAGAGAGCACAGGCUUUUCCUUCUCUCUCUCGCGAAUCCUCCAUGAGCACGCUAGCAAGGAAAAAGACACGGCGAUUCACUGAAACGAGGUCGGGAGUUAGAGACGACGCCAUUUCAUCAUUCCUGCGCCAUCUCGCGCUGCUCCGCCUUUCUUUUCUGAGAUCGGUCAGGUUUUUUUUGUUUCCCUUUGUAUCUUCCUUUUGAUGCAUUGCAACGGAUCCGGUAAUCGAUGGCGAGCCAACCCCGUUGAUGGACCAAUUGACUUUGUUCUGUGCUGCACAGCAGAGUGUGGUAGGCCAGUUGCAACAAAACAAAAACACACCACGCCACUUUGAACUUGCUGUUCCCUUUCUUCACACACAUCCCCCUGGACUUACGGACGGUUUAUUUUAAGGACUUUUCACGGACUCUAUACAUCCCACGAACAGGAAGGGAAGUGGGUGUGGGCGGUUGGAUACAUGUUUCCAGCUUAAUGGUUGUUGUACUUUAUUAACAAAGUCUAUGAAGAUACAACCAAGUGUUGUUAUUUGGAUUUUGCUAAUUGAUAUUGUGGUUCAUUUUGGAAGUGAACUUUGUACAUUUAGAAGGGUGCACCCAGGUAAGUUUUCUUUUUGUAAAGUGAUUACUGUGAUUGUGCCACAGGGUUGUCACUGAGGAAAAUACUGGUACCAAAAACAGAGACUUUUAUUUGUAAUGUUUUGUAUGUUUGUCAUAUUUUCUUUCUUUUGUUUCUCGAUGAGUAAAAAUACAAAGCUGGCAUUUUCAAAACUCACAGUUGCCUGAGUCUCAUUCAGUUUGCCUCUCCUGUACGUAGCCGAACCUACUGGUCCAGAGCAGUGAGCUCUUUUGCAUCAAAUUUGGGUGAAGUACCUUUUGGUCUUAGAGUAUUUGAGGCACAUGAGUGUUACACGCGGGUAAUGAGCACCGCCCCGGCAGAGGAGAGAGAGAGAGAGAGAGCGCACACACAAAACAAA